AACGGCCGUACCAUGCUGAAUAUACCGGUUCUCGUUAGAUCACCGAAGUCAAGCAUCAUUGGGCGCGGUCAGUACUAAUUAAUUUAAAUAUGUUGACCACCUGGGAACACCGCGUGCCGU